UACGUAGGGGGCUAGCGUUGUCCGGAAUCAUUGGGCGUAAAGCGCGUGUAGGCGGUUCGGUAAGUCCGCUGUGAAAGUCGGGGGCUCAACCCUCGGAUGCCGGUGGAUACUGUCGGGCUUGAGUACGGAAGAGGCGAGUGGAAUUCCUGGUGUAGCGGUGAAAUGCGCAGAUAUCAGGAGGAACACCAAUUGCGAAGGCAGCUCGCUGGGACGUUACUGACGCUGAGACGCGAAAGCGUGGGGAGCAAACCGG
rnacentral:rRNA from 1 species